CCACAGACCUAAUAUAACUCACCUUCUCUUGGGAACUGCCUCCAGCUUUACCCACGAAAAUCAGUGCAUGUUUAAUCAUCAAUCUGAUCCCAUGAGCUAGUGCUUUUGUUUAGCACUUCUUAUUUCUCACUUUUAUUGUGGUGAAUUAUUUAUGACUUACCUUCCUCUUUAAAGCAGGUGCCAAGUCUUGCUCCUUUCUGUAUCACCACAUAGCACCUAGAAUAGGGACUUAAACAUGACAGAUGGUCAAAAAUAUUGAAGUAUUAUAUAACUGUGUUUACUGAACUAAGGUUGGUCUAUGGACAGUUAUGAUUAUUAAAGAAAUCCAUAUUCCUGGGGUCAAUUACCAAAAAAUUGUUGAAUCAGAAUGAGGUAAAGUGAUAAAGCACAGGCAACAUGUUUUUGUAAAAAUCCUCAUGUGAUCCUAAAAAUAGAAGAUUUGGAGGACUCAUUGAAUUUGAUAGGAUGCUACCAGCCCUGAGAGUUGGGCCUCUACCAUCAGCUCCAUAACAUGAGACUACCAAGUGGACCAGUGAAUGUGCUCCUAGGUCAUGAAUCACUAUGUCACAAUCAAGUUCAGUAGAUUCUAGAGGCUAAGGCAGAGAAGCACCUGAGGACACUUCUACUUCUCAGUCUAGGACAUUUGCUUCCUACUGGUUAAGCUCCAGCCCCACACCACCCCAGUUCCUUAGGUUCUGGAAGACUUUACAAACAUCCCAGGGAGGGAUCAUCUCUGGAUGUGUUAUCAGCCGGUGCUUUAUCCAGAUUACAUUUACAGCUAACAGAGGAAUAACAAUGUCAGCCCUUUAACGUGAGGAGACAUUUGCCUGAUUUUGGAUUUUUCCACCCUUGUCCUGACAGAAGACUCCUUCUCUCACUGCUCUGCAUGUGGCCAGAACAGUGUUAUCUUGACAGGAAGACCCUCUCUGCUGUCAUGUUGAACCUCCAAGGUGUUAAAAAUAAUAGCUUCCACCCAGCUAAUUCCUGUGGGGAGUGUGAAGAUGACAAAGGAUAUUUGGAAGAGGAACUUCGCAAGCUAAUCCCUCAGCUGAUCAUCGUUGUUUCAUUCCUGUAUGCUUUAUGUCUCUCAGUGUCUAAGAAAUAGUGUUUCUUCUCUAGCUCCAGUCAAGUAAAAUUUAAUUGCUUAUGUCCUGACAUCUUAGUUCAUUCAAUUUCUCCUGCAAGUGAGCUAAUGGCCCCUAGUGGCAAGACAGGCAACAGAAGCAGGGGAGGGGGUUGAACUCAGAAUUUACUCUUUCUGUGCCUUAAUAACUUUGAGAUUGUUCAGUCAUUUAACAUCUCUUGGUUACUUUCAUCUUACUACAAAUAGUAUUAGUGGUCUGUUAAUAAUGUUUGCAUUCCAGGUAGUACAGGGUGAUCACAGAGACCAACAGAGAUACAGUAUAGAAAUGUUUGGUAAAGUAGGGUGCAAAUAAAAGACCUAAUCCUGGUAUUCAAGUAAAAACAUCUGGCCCCAGGCAUUUGAAAAUUUAUUAGCCAAAAUGAUCCUGAAAAGAUAAAGCCAGAAAAGACAAUUUUA
rnacentral:lncRNA from 1 species